AUGAAAAGCUGGUGUGCAACUAGAGAGUCCAGACAUGAAAUGCAAAACGGUUGGCAUAGCUACUUUGGCUGGAGAAGACAAGAGCAUGGUCAUGAUGCAAGAAAAAAUGGAAGAGGCAGUCUGAUGAACUCCAAAUGGAGUCAUCCAAAAUGCCAUCCAAAUGGCAGAAUGGCACAGGAGAUGAGAGCUGCCACGUAUUUUCCCUGUUGUCCUCAAGAAGCCUCUGGAGGCUUGAGCAGAGUUUUGGGUGUUGCAGGAGUAAGUCAACAUUCAAACCAUUACCUCUAA
rnacentral:lncRNA from 13 species